CGCUACGUCUCAAAGAUUAAGCCAUGCAUGUGUAAGUAUAAAUAGUAACUACGAAACUGCGAAUGGCUCAUUAUAUCAGUUAUAGUUUAUUUGAUGAAGAAUACAAAUAGGAUAACCGUAGUAAUACUAGAGCUAAUACAUGUAUAAAGUCUUGUAGACUGCAUUUAUUAGAAUGAAAACCAUAGGUUUCGGCCUAUUCGAGAGUAAUAAUAACUAAUCAUAUCGUAUGCUUAUGUAACGAUGUGUCUUUCAAGUUUCUGCCCUAUCAGCUUUCGAUGGUAGUGUAUUGGACUACCAUGGCAGUAACGGGUAACGAAGAA
rnacentral:rRNA from 1 species